rnacentral:rRNA from 1 species
GAUGAACGCUAGCUACAGGCUUAACACAUGCAAGUCGAGGGACCGGCGCACGGGUGAGUAACACGUAUCCAACCUGCCCUUUACUCGGGGAUAGCCUUUCGAAAGAAAGAUUAAUACCCGAUGUAAAGGAUGGGGAUGCGUUUCAUUAGGUUGUUGGUGAGGUAACGGCUCACCAAGCAUUCGAUGGAUAGGGGUUCUGAGAGGAAGGUCCCCCGCAUUGGAACUGUGAGCCGGUCCAAACUCCUACGGGAGGCAGCAGUGAGGAAUAUUGGUCAAUGGGCGUUAGCCUGAACCAGCCAAGUAGCGUGAAGGAUGAAGGCUUAUGGGUCGUAAACUUCUUUUAUAUAAGAAUAUGUAUUAUAUGAAUAAGGAUCGGCUAACUCCGUGCCAGCAGCCGCGGUAAUUC